GAAGCUUCGACUAAGGUUCGAUUCGAGCGCAGCGAGAAAGCGUUGCCGCAGGCAACGACCCGAAGGGCGAAGCGCGCAGCGCUGAGUCAUCCUUCCCCCACCACCA
rnacentral:sRNA from 1 species